rnacentral:lncRNA from 1 species
GUCCAUUGUACCAUUAAAAUCAGUCCAAUCACUAUUUGAAUGUCUACAAUGCCAUCAAAUAUUGAACACUUCUUAGACUUUGAAGCAUAAACAUGAGAAAAAUCGUCAUUAAAUUAUAACAGGGUAUUGAUACCACCUUCUUGGAACCCUUCGGCCUUAUUAGAUCGCACCUAUCAAAUUAAACUAUAAAAUGGAAGAUAUUGUUUGAAGUAUCAAUGUCUAAUUUUAAAAAAACUA